GGAAGAGUAACCCGUAAUUGGUAGCGGUACGGUCCUGAAAACCGUGGCCUCACGGCCCUGGGGGUUCAAGUCCCUUUUCUUCCG
rnacentral:tRNA from 1 species